rnacentral:miRNA from 1 species
GUGGAUGUGGGAAUGCCACCAGCAGUGCUGCCUCACGGUACUUGGAGGGAGGUUGUCCGUGGUGAGUUUGCAUUGUCUAAUGAUGCCCAAU